CAUCUUGGGAUGCAUAGCUGCAUCUGGCCUGCUGAGAAAAGCCGCAUCUCUGGCUUUUACAAAGCAUAAGAGAUCAACUCUAACAAGCGACAUUAUUGAAUGUUUAGGGAAGAGUUUGGAGGAUAUCUGUCCUGCAUCUUAAUCUGCACAACACAUGAACUAGAGUUGUCUUGCCUUCUACUACAUCUUACUGUCUACGUGAAGCUUCAGAAGCUGUUCCUGUUUCGGUUCUUGUAUCUAUUUCCCUCACCACUGUUGUCUCUGUAUAAUAAAACCUGAAUGCUGUGAUUACGAAAUAAAAAUUAUAAUUCAUAUGAUCCAGAUCCGUUAAUCCUAAUUCUUACAGAUUCAUGUAGACAGAUUGAGAAUUGUGAGAUUUACUAGAGAAACAGUUGAUGAACAGAGACAAGAGGAUCAAGAGAAGGUAAAUUUUGGUUUCAGAGACAUUAACUUAUUAGGAAGAAGACACUAAAAACAGCAGAA